rnacentral:misc_RNA from 1 species
UUUGGUAUUUGUUACAUAAGCGGGACAUUAAUAGAUGAUUUGAGAAUUCAUAAUCUCAUAAUAAUGGUGGGAUUGCAUGAUCUGUUGGAGGCAAGGAUACAUUAAAUACCAAUUGAUAUAUUGAUAGAUUAAAGUAGCAUAUUACUGUUUCGAUUCUGAAUUCGAGUAAUAUGUUGUUCAGGAUCUGGUCAAGAUGCCCAUUUGCUGGACACACAUUACAAAGUUUUAUUCUUGUUAUAUAAAUGGAGGUAUUGACUGAUAGAGACUGUGACUGAGAUACCAAUAUUAUCCCUUUUGUUUCAUCUGAACUUUCUGUUUUCUUCUAACGGUUACUUUGCGUUUUCAAGAUUUGAAAGCUUCUUUUUUAUAUUUUCUUUUUAUUAUUAUUUUUUUUCACUUGCCCCACUUAUUGAGAUGUCCAAUGCUUGGCCAUUUCAAACACAUUUUUACAACGGUUGGCAGUCCUUAAUAGUUUGUUCAAUUUAAGCUUGUGUGUUCAUUACAAAAGG